AGGGAUCAUUACCGAGUUUACAACUCCCAAACCCAAUGUGAACGUUACCAAACUGUUGCCUCGGCGGGAUCUCUGCCCCGGGUGCGUCGCAGCCCCGGACCAAGGCGCCCGCCGGAGGACCAACCAAAACUCUUAUUGUAUACCCCCUCGCGGGUUUUUUACUAUCUGAGCCAUCUCGGCGCCCCUCGUGGGCGUUUCGAAAAUGAAUCAAAACUUUCAACAACGGAUCUCUUGGUUCUGGCAUCGAUGAAGAACGCAGCGAAAUGCGAUAAGUAAUGUGAAUUGCAGAAUUCAGUGAAUCAUCGAAUCUUUGAACGCACAUUGCGCCCGCCAGUAUUCUGGCGGGCAUGCCUGUCCGAGCGUCAUUUCAACCCUCGAACCCCUCCGGGGGGUCGGCGUUGGGGAUCGGCCCUUUACGGGGCCGGCCCCGAAAUACAGUGGCGGUCUCGCCGCAGCCUCUCCUGCGCAGUAGUUUGCACACUCGCAUCGGGAGCGCGGCGCGUCCACAGCCGUUAAACACCCCAAACUUCUGAAAUGUUGACCUCGGAUCAGGUAGGAAUACCCGCUGAACUUAA
rnacentral:rRNA from 3 species